rnacentral:rRNA from 1 species
AUUGAACGCUGGCGGCAGGCCUAACACAUGCAAGUCGAGCGGAUGAAGGGAGCUUGCUCCUGGAUUCAGCGGCGGACGGGUGAGUAAUGCCUAGGAAUCUGCCUGGUUGUGGGGGAUAACGUCCGGAAACGGGCGCUAAUACCGCAUACGUCCUGAGGGAGAAAGUGGGGGAUCUUCGGACCUCACGCUAUCAGAUGAGCCUAGGUCGGAUUAGCUAGUUGGUGGGGUAAAGGCCUACCAAGGCGACGAUCCGUAACUGGUCUGAGAGGAUGAUCAGUCACACUGGAACUGAGACACGGUCCAGACUCCUACGGGAGGCAGCAGUGGGGAAUAUUGGACAAUGGGCGAAAGCCUGAUCCAGCCAUGCCGCGUGUGUGAAGAAGGUCUUCGGAUUGUAAAGCACUUUAAGUUGGGAGGAAGGGCAGUAAGUUAAUACCUUGCUGUUUUGACGGUACCAACAGAAUAAGCACCGGCUAACUUCGUG